rnacentral:lncRNA from 1 species
GGUGUCCUAUUGCCGAUGGUAGUGGAAGGAGGGGGAGAUCGUGGUUUUGAUAACAAUGGAGAUGGGCUUUGACUCAAGUAGCUCACUCAUGGUUGAGCCCAUGGCUUUUAGGCUUUGGCAACUUCGGCACCACAAGCUGGAGUGAAGGAGAGGAAGAAGAUCAAGUCUAACCCAGGCUUGUUGGGGCCGAACUUAUCCUUAUCCAGGCCAAAUUCAUUGAGACAGCAUCCGGGCUCCCUAG